rnacentral:rRNA from 1 species
GACGAACGCUGGCGGCGUGCCUAAUACAUGCAAGUAGAACGCUGAAGGAGGAGCUUGCUUCUCCGGAUGAGUUGCGAACGGGUGAGUAACGCGUAGGUAACCUGCCUGGUAGCGGGGGAUAAUUAUUGGAAACGAUAGCUAAUACCGCAUAACAGUAGAUGUUGCAUGACAUUUGCUUAAAAGGUGCAAUUGCAUCACUACCAGAUGGACCUGCGUUGUAUUAGCUAGUUGGUGAGGUAACGGCUCACCAAGGCGACGAUACAUAGCCGACCUGAGAGGGGGCUCGGCCACACUGGGACUGAGACACGGCCCAGACUCCUACGGGAGGCAGCAGUAGGGAAUCUUCGGCAAUGGACGGAAGUCUGACCGAGCAACGCCGCGUGAGUGAAGAAGGUUUUCGGAUCGUAAAGCUCUGUUGUAAGAGAAGAACGAGUGUGAGAGUGGAAAGUUCACACUGUGACGGUAUCUUACCAGAAAGGGACGGCUAACUACGUG